rnacentral:rRNA from 1 species
GGUUUGAUCAUGGCUCAGAUUGAACGCUGGCGGGAUGCUUUACACAUGCAAGUCGAACGGCAGCACGGACUUCCGGUCUGUAGGGCGAGGGCGGAACGGUGAGUAAUGUACUGGAACGUUCAUAGAUGGGGAUGGGUUCACGCGAAAGGUGCAUAAUACCGCAUACGCCCUUCGGGGGAAAGCGGGGACCUUCGUGGCCUCGCACUAUUAGAGCGGCCAAUAUCGGAUUAGCUAGUUGGUGGGGUAACGGGCUCACUAAGGCGACGAUCCGUAGCUGGUUUGAGAGGACGACCAGCCACACUGGACCGAGGACACGGCCCAGACUUUACGGAGGCAGUGGGGAACUGCACACGGGGAAACCUGAUCCAGCCAUCCGCGUGUGCGAUGAAGGCCCGGGUUGCAAGACUUUGGCAGGAAAGAAACGGCACGGGAGCACGCCUGUGCAACUGACGGUACCUGCAGAAUAAGCACCGGCACCCUACGCCAGCAGCCGCGGUAAUACGUAGGGUGCAAGCGUUAAUCGGAAUUACUGGAAGCAGCGUGCGCAGGCGGUUCGGGAAAGAAAGAUGUGAAAAUCCCGCAGAGCCAACUUUGGAACUGCAUUUUUAACUACCGAGCUAGAGUGCGUCAGAGGGAGGUGGAAUCAUGUGUAGCAGUGAAAUGCGUAGAUAUGCGGAGGAAAUCACCGAUGGCGAAGGGCAGCCUCCGGGAUAACACUGACGCUCAUGCACGAAAGCGUGGGGAGCAAACAGUGAUUACGAUACCCUGGUAGUCCACGCCCUAAACGAUGUCAACUAGCUGUUGGGGCCCGGCCUUGGUAGCGCAGCUAACGGGCAGUGAAGUUGACCGCCUGGGAGUACGGUCGCAAGAUUAAAACUCAAAGGAAUUGACGGGGACCCGCACAAGCGGUGGAUGAUGUGGAUUAAUUCGAUGCAACGCGAAAACCUUACCUACCCUUGACAUGUCUGGAAUCCCGAAGAGAUUUGGGAGUGCUCGCAAGAGAAACCGGAACACAGGUGCUGCAUGGCUGUCGUCAGCUCGUGUCGUGAGAUGUUGGGUUAAGUCCCGCAACGGACGCAAACCCUGUCAAUAGUUGCUACGAAAGGGCACUAAUGAGACCGGUGACAAACCGAGGAAGGUGGGAUGACGUCAAGUCCUCAUGGCCCUUAUGGGUAGCUCGUCAUACAAUGGUCGGGACAGAGGGUCGCUAACCCGCGAGGGGAGCCAAUCCCAGAAACCCGAUUCAGUCCGUUGAUCGCAGUCUGCAACUCGACUGUGUAAGUCGGAAUCGCUAGUAAUCGCGAUCAGCAUGUCGCGGUGAAUACGUUCCCGGUCUUGUACACACCGCCCGCCACACCAUGGGAGUGGGUUUUACCAGAAGUAGUUAGCCCAAACUGCAAGGGAGGGCGAUUACCGCCACGCAGAGAUCACAGACUGGGUGAAGUCGUAACAAGGUAA